rnacentral:lncRNA from 1 species
CUGUUUUCUGUUGCUUUUGCCCUGGAGCUUUCCCCACUAAAACCCGCUGUUUAGCGCUCAAUCGGCGCAGACACAGAUGUGGGUUUUAUGUGGGUUUUUGAUUGAGUGCUAAAUAGUGGGUUUUCACGGGGAAAGGUCCAAAGCAAAAAAAGAAAAGGAAAAGGAAAAUAAAGGUGCUCAGAGAUGGAGCUUUAAAGCGAGGACCAUGCCUAGAAAGAGCGGAGGAAAGGUAAAUGUGGAUAAGCCCUAAGAAUUACAGUGGUACCUCGCAAGACGAAUGCCUCGCAAGACAAAAAACUCGCUAGACGAAAGGUUUUUCCGUUUGCGAGUUGCCUCGCAAGACGAAUUUCCCUAUGGGCUUGCUUCGCAAGACGAAAACGUCUCGCGACUUUGUUUCCUUUGUCUAAAUAAUAAUUCGCAAGACGAAAAAUUCGCUAGACGACAAAACUUGCGGAACGAAUUAAUUUCGUCUUGCGGGGCACCACUGUACUGUUAUUUAUACGAAUCCUGCUGGCUCAUUUGGGAUAGCACUGACCAUGCAAGAGCGAUCACUGCAACUAUAUCUUGCAGGAACGUGGCUCAUCUUGCUAUUAUAUAAUAUCCCUUAAGUUUUUUAAACUUUCUUCUUUUUUAUGUUAUCACAGCUCCAUAGAAUACUGCAGAUCAGGGCCAGGGAGCCUGGGUGUUGCAGAUGCUGCUGGGCCAUUGGCCAUGUGGCCUGGAACUGAUUAGAGUUAGAUUCCAACAUCUUCGUUGCAGCUGCUCUACCUCUGCUGUAGAUUAUUCUUAGUUCAGAACCACUCAGUCUACAGUUCUCUGCAGGACACACACCAAUCUUGCUUCACAAUCUGUCUUUUCUUCUGGCAACCUAGGCUGCAACAUCUGAAGAGACUGCAAAGCUUGCAUCAUCAGUAUUUGAAUCACAAACACGCAAGGGAGUGAUCAGUUAAAAUUGUUGCCACACACUUAUUUUUAAUUAUGUUACUCCAUUGCUUCUUGACAGGUCUAACACUCCUUUACAAAUGACUCUACUAUCCUCUGGUCCUGAGGCAUUUAUGUUGCUUUCCUGAUUGUUAUUGCUGUUUGGUAAUAAUUGUUAUUAUUGUUUUUUAAAAUUACAUGUGCUAAGAUCUGCUAAUCUAGGGCUCACAGCCACCAUAACAGAGGCUAAUACAUAGUGUGACUUGGCCCUUGUCCUGUGCUUUCAGUAGCAGCAUGGCACGCCGAAAUUUAGCUGGUGAAGCUUUUCUUGGCAUGGAGAUAAACUUAAGUGAUGGCACAGGAAGCAUCCCUGCCGGAAGAAAGCAAUGAACUAUGUAAAGUGUGUCCCAAAUCAUAAAUAUGAUUUGACUUAUGCUGCUGUAAUAAUUGUGAGCUGCAAACUGCUGCAGAGAAGAAAAUUUAUGUUCAUUAAUAAAAAAAAUUGUGUGUGUAAUAGAAAACUAAACACAAAUAAAUGUUGUUGUUUUUUGAUAAUUUACUAUUGCUACUAACCAGCCCUGCAGAAAGAUAACAUUAUUGUGCCAAUUAAUAAAAAUAUA